UAUAUGUGUGUGUAUGUAUUGCACGCAGUAAAGCCUACUUCGAAAGUUGNGGGUAAUCAAUUUGAAGUAAUGAUUUCUCCAAAUAUAUACUGCACACUCAUAUACAGUAUCUUAUGUCCACGAAUUUGUAAUUCAUUACACUUUUGUGUGUGCAUUCGACGCUCGUAUGUGCAAUUGUCAAUUCAUGGUGGGGACAGACCAUUGUUAAUUGUUGGUCUCGGUCUUAACUAGGAAUGCCUUGUACGGGUCUUUGGUUCAACAAACCACCCGGAAUACGUCCCUGCCCUUUGUACACACCGCCCGUCGCUCUUACCGAUGGACUUCUCUGUGAGUUUGAGGGACUGGAUUUUAUAUCUAUGGAAACUCAAACGAACAGUGUGGU
rnacentral:rRNA from 1 species